GACGAACGCUGGCGGCGUGCCUAAUACAUGCAAGUCGAGCGAUCCUUGAGGUGCUUGCACCUCUUGGUUAGCGGCGGACGGGUGAGUAACACGUGGGCAACCUGCCUGUAAGACUGGGAUAACACCGGGAAACCGGUGCUAAUACCGGAUAAUCCUUUUCCUCUCAUGAGGAAAAGCUGAAAGUCGGUUUCGGCUGACACUUACAGAUGGGCCCGCGGCGCAUUAGCUAGUUGGUGAGGUAACGGCUCACCAAGGCGACGAUGCGUAGCCGACCUGAGAGGGUGAUCGGCCACACUGGGACUGAGACACGGCCCAGACUCCUACGGGAGGCAGCAGUAGGGAAUCUUCCGCAAUGGACGAAAGUCUGACGGAGCAACGCCGCGUGAGCGAUGAAGGCCUUCGGGUCGUAAAGCUCUGUUGUUAGGGAAGAACAAGUAUCGGAGUAACUGCCGGUACCUUGACGGUACCUAACCAGAAAGCCACGGCUAACUACGUGCCAGCCGCCGCCGUAAUAC
rnacentral:rRNA from 1 species